rnacentral:SRP_RNA from 1 species
CUGCUGUUGUGGGGCAGCGGGAGAGGUCUGAGAUCGGUUGCUAGAACCUGUCCUUGGUUCGAGCCUAUAAAGCGUCCUUGUUGAGCAUUGCGGUGAAUAUGACUUGCACGUGUGAGUAGUCCAUGUGCAUACAUAUUGUAAACUUGUCUGUACACUCGAGGAAAGAAAUUUAGCAGAGACCAGGCAGCCGUGGUUGCGGCUUCGGGGAUGGCGCUUUCGGUUCAUUAGGAUAAAGGGGACGAUCGGUCUCAAGGGACUUUACCCUGCGUUU